rnacentral:lncRNA from 1 species
GGAAGAGCUUUGAAAAAAGAUUCUGCAUAGCGAGGCUCAGAACAAAGAGCUUAAGAAAGCUGAACCUCAAAGGAAAGCACUUAAUGAAGUGCUUUAGAAGAUUGAAGCUCAAAACAAAACUUUGGAAUUUGCAGAAUUGCGCCUUACUUUGGAUUUUACUAGGUGUUUUUUACUAUUGCUAUUAGUCUAUUUAUUUGGUGUUCAUACUGUUAGAAUGAGAAUUUUACACUUUUACUGUUAGAAUUGAAAUUGUUAGAAAAAUGUUUCCUUUCUCAGAAGAUAGAGAAAUCAAUUGCAGAGGGAGUCUAUAUUGUUCUUCUCUGUGUUCCAAGUAUAUUUUUGUUCAUGGGAAUCCUAUCGGUUGGCUAAAGUUAUACUGCGAGCAUUAGCUUUGAAUCAUAAAUUUAAUUUCAAUUUUGUUUA